UAUUGUAUGGGGACUUCAGUCCCCAGCUAAAUCGCAUUACCUAUCUACAGAAAGGAUCAAUGUUUUUUCUGUGUUACAGAUAAUAAUUUAUGUGUUCAUUGACUUGGUAAGACGAUCAGUUAUAAUGAUCCAGAAUAUUUUUCAUGAACGGCUCUGCAUUUUUUGAGAAAGUUACUUGAUGUGGAAUAAUUCUUUUUAGCACUAUGGGCAUUUCCUGAUGCCAUGGAGGAAAAAUCAAGCGACAUCACUUUCCAUUUGUUGUGAAUUUGUGAUUGGUUUCCCCUUGCUCUACAAUCUUGAUCUUCUGGCAUAUACUGCACCACUUAAAAUUGUAUCGGAAUAUCCCCGAAGAAAACUUCUAAUGUAUCUCUUUUUUUUUUGUUGUAUUGGAACCUUACUGUUUUGUACACCUUUUACCAUAAUUUUUUAAUAGAUCAGAAUGUAGCUCCAUAUAGCUAUAUUUAAUAGAAUUUUUACUGAUUUGUCAGCCCAAAUAGAUUAAGGGGAGUUUCUACUGUCUGCUUGAAGAUUUGACAUGUGGCGCAUAAAUAAUAUUGAUUGUCUUAUGCCUAAUUAUAAUGAUAUGUAUCCCAGAUGCAAUUCAUGUGUCAAAAAGCUGAGGUGAGGUCUAAAUGCUUCAUAAUUUACGGUUUUCUGGCUAUGGUUGUACUAUUCAUGAUUACUAGACAAACAACCACCAUUUUUUAGUACAUUUUAAGCGCUGUCACGAAACUACGAUAUAAUCAGGCAGUGAAGAACCUGAGAUCUGCUUCCUGCCGUUUUACCUAUAGGAUUCUGUUUGCAAUUGCAGAAGUCCGGCCUCUGUUAACCCUUUAUUUAUACAAUAAACGUGCAUGCUGUAUUGUACAUUAAAUUGAUAACUGAUAUUGCCAGUCCUAGCCAUAAUUUAUUUACUUGGUGAUGAUGCUUAUCAGAUAUAAUUUCAAAAAUUACUAUGAAUCUUGAAAUCUUUGUAUUUGUAGCAAAUACUUUACUUUACUAUUGCAGCUAUAGUAUAUAACUCCCAAGCUAUUUAUCAACUCAGUUACUCAUCACAUGAUCUAUCCUCACAGUGUAAUGGAGUUUUCUUUUUGCAGGUAGUUGAAUGAAAUUAUGUGCAUUGUGAUCAUGUGAGAUACUUGUUGCCCUCAAUAUUUCCCAUUUUCUUAUCAUAUUACAGGAAUACUGUAAGAUCUCUUAUCAUCAUUCAUAUAAGAUCUCUUAUCAUCAUGCAUAUAAGUCUUUUUCUUAGUUUUCCAGUCAAGUCAAUGAACAAUUAGGCAUGCUGAUGGAUGUGUAUAAAUCUUUAUUUUUUGUUUUGACUGGGGCACAUUGGAUCCGAUGACUUAAAUUGCAUUGCUAUGGAUAUACAUCAAUGCAUACUCUUGCUGCGGUAUAGGAAUUUCUGACCAAUCAUCUCAUUUUCAAAUGCAUAUCAUAGAGUUAUAUCCAUUUUUUGGCAGGGAUGUAUACUAAAUUUCUCAUGUGGUUUAUCACUGAUCUUUUUAUUCUUCCUUGACACAGGUGAAAAGUUAUUUCCUUGUGUUCACUAGAUAGCAUGUUCUGAGAAUAGUUCAUAUAUGCAUUACAUCCACUCUUGUGGUGGCAAACAUUCAAGUCAAGUACUCGCUUGUGACUUCAAACCCUGAAGACCUGCAUUUACCUUUGGAUAGUGGUUUUUUCCUCUGGUUUCAGGAAGCAUGAAGAGGAAAAGCACUUACGUAUCUGCAAAGGGAAGCGAUCUAUCUGCACAAGCUACACUACUCUUAGCACAUAGAAUGUAUUGCAUGGCUAUAUGUAUGUAUCCUGCACCUAUGUUAGCAACGGCACGGCUAUGAUAAAAGGACAUAUUUGCAAGAUUGGCCUAGGGCUACAAGAUCACAAACACCACUUUGAGCAAUCAAUGGAAAACUAGAAGCACGGUUAUUAUUUUCACAAGAAUAUUUGAAUAGUAGCGACCACCGUUCAGAUCGCCCACAUCAUCUUCUCUGACAUUGGCGGCGGAGAACAAAGGCACCAUGAGCUAGAAGAGUACAUGCCAGGGACAUAGGAGGAGGAAGAACACAUCAAGCACACCACCGAAGAAUUCUCACAUAGAUGGCGACCGAGAGGAUCCACUGGAGAGGGGGCGGCAGCUUCGCCGGCAGCAACGAGCUAGGGUACUCCUAUGAGAGAGCUCGAGCCCACCAUCCCGUGUCCCCCUGUCAAGAGCCAGGAAAUCAUUGUUCAUCAAACAAUUGAGGAAGAUGGUAACCGACAUGUAUGACUCUAUGUGCCAGUAGGACAUUGUCGGAGCUUAGCCUUCAGUUGUGUCCUUUCGAAUUUUAUCCCCUAGAUGUGUGAGAUGUACCGGGUUUUGUAAAAUCCAUGGUGAAGUCCCUCCAACAGUAUAAAUCUAACAGUAAAGAA